rnacentral:rRNA from 1 species
UACGAAGGGAGCUAGCGUUGUUCGGAAUCACUGGGCGUAAAGCGCACGUAGGCGGAUUGUUUAGUCAGGGGUGAAAUCCCGGAGCUCAACUUCGGAACUGCCUUUGAUACUGGCAAUCUCGAGUCCGAUAGAGGUGGGUGGAAUUCCUGGUGUAGCGGUGAAAUGCGCAGAUAUCUGGAGGAACACCGGUGGCGAAGGCGGCAUCCUGGACCAACACUGACGCUGAGUGAGCGAAAGCCAGGGGAGCAAACGGG